UGGGGAAUUUGGACAAUGGGCGAAGCCUGAUCCAGCAAUGCCGCGUGUGUGAAGAAGGCCUUCGGGUUGUAAAGCACUUUUGUCCGGAAAGAAAUCCUUGGCUCUAAUACAGUCGGGGGAUGACGGUACCGGAAGAAUAAGCACCGGCUAACUACGUGCCAGCAGCCGCGGUAAUACGUAGGGUGCAAGCGUUAAUCGGAAUUACUGGGCGUAAAGCGUGCGCAGGCGGUUUGCUAAGACCGAUGUGAAAUCCCCGGGCUCAACCUGGGAACUGCAUUGGUGACUGGCAGGCUAGAGUAUGGCAGAGGGGGGUAGAAUUCCACGUGUAGCAGUGAAAUGCGUAGAGAUGUGGAGGAAUACCGAUGGCGAAGGCAGCCCCCUGGGCAAUACUGACGCUCAUGCACGAAAGCGUGGGGAGCAAACAGGAUUAGAUACCCUGGUAGUCCACGCCCUAAACGAUGUCAACUAGUUGUUGGGGAUUCAUUUCCUUAGUAACGUAGCUAACGCGUGAAGUUGACCGCCUGGGGAGUACGGUCGCAAGAUUAAAACUCAAAGGAAUUGACGGGGU
rnacentral:rRNA from 1 species